AAGUAGACCUGAUGGAAUUGGGCACUAAGCCUAUCUUUCAUUGGUGAAGUAAAACCUACAGCAGGAUUUCCG
rnacentral:sRNA from 1 species